ensembl:processed_transcript
ACACGGCACAAGAUGGCCGGAGAGGCAGCAGCAGCCCCAGCUGUCAGGCGGCCUGCCGCGGCCCGCGGGCUCGCCGCUGCGCUGGGAGCCGUACCCCGGCGGCCCGGAGGGCUCUGGGAGAGCGGGGAGGCCGCGGCUGGGGCGAGGCGGCCGCGCGCGAAUGCGGGAGCUCGCGGCCGGAGCGCCCGGGGAGGCCCGGGCCCACGACGCCCGUGGCUCCGCUGCGGCAGCGGCGGCGCCGGUGGCGCGCGCGGCUGGGAGGCGGCUUCGCGCCGUGGGCGGGAGGCUGCGGCGGGCGACCGGUCCUGGACACGCGAGGAAGAGCGAGCCGAUGGCGCCUGCGGUCUCGCUUCGACCCGGUAACUUACAAGAUGAUAAUUCAUGUGGUUGCCGAUGAUUCUGAGUAUACACAGCUUUUAUCCCAGGUGUGCCAUUUUGAAGACUGAGACUAUAGAGUUUUAAGAAUAAAGGAGAGAGCCCUUGGGAAAUUCUGUAUUGUAUAUAGCAAGAAUGUGAAUCCUUAAAUGGAAUGAAAAGCCUAUACCAUAGACAUCGAAGCCUUUACACCCCGCUUGAAGAGUUUGAAAUGGACUUUACCACAGAAAUCAAGAUGGCAGCCCAUUAUGGGGAAUUGAGGAAAAUGGAUUAAUGCAAGAAUGCUGUAAUAUUACACAACCAACACAGGAUUCUUUUAAUGUGGAUUCCAUGAAAUGAAUGAUUCUUACCCGCUUAUGGACUUAUCCACAAAUGGACAGUGGAAUUUACUUCCUAAAGACAUAUUACAUAUGUACAUUUUUGACAUCUGGAGAAGAUUCUACAAUUCUACAAAUGGUAGUUUGUAUUCCUGGAAUUUCUUGCAGUUUGAUCUGAAGUGACCUUAUGGAAUGUUAACUUUAAUAAAAAUCUCUAAAACUUAAAAAAAUUUCUCAGUUUGGGCCUUUUAUAAAUUUUUUCAGUGGGCGUUAAACAUUAAAUGUUCAUUUUACCUUGAUAACAUUUUGACCUUUACAGUUGCUUUUCAUUAAAGUAUACUGAAUAAAGCUGGUAAAAUGGAAUGGUUUUAUUUGGGAUUUAUGUGUAUUAGAAAAUCUUGGUUUUCCUGUGUUUAAGUGGAAUGGUCCUUUGGUUAAAAUAGAUAUAUUCUCUCUUCCCCUUCCCCCUUUCUUCUUUUUUUUUUUGUUUUGUUUUGUUUUUUGUUUUUUCAGGACAGGGUUUCUCUAUGUAUCCUUGGUUGUCCUGGAACUCUGUAGACCAGCCUGGCCUGGAAUUUGCAGUGAUCUGCCUGCCUCUGCUACCUGAGUCCAGGCAUUAAAGCUAUACACACCCAGUUUUUUUUUUUGUUUUUUGUUUUUUGUUUUUUUUUUUAAUUACAGGGUUUAAAUAAAUUCCUUUGAGUUUGGGUCAUUUCAAAAUAUCUUGCAUUUUAAUCAUUGGGUAAUGGAAACUUUGAAUGUGUCAAGAGAUUAUAGUGAAUAUAUAAUAUAAAACAAAGUACUGGUCUCAUUUCCUGUAUAGUCCAAGACAGUCUCAGUGUCUUUCAAUUUUUGUUGAUGAAAGUCGUCCUUUGCCAUGUGUUUUUAAAGUAUAAAUCAUCUUGCAAUGAAAUGCUCAUCUGAAUAUUUGAGUAAUACUAAUUUGUAUUGUAUUGUCUUACAUUAGAGGCAUAUUUUUAUAGUCUUUGGGUAUACAUUAAAAGGGUUACUUAAUAUGACAGUAGUGUAAUUUACAUUCGAAAAACAAAUCCUUGUUUUUCUUGUUUUGUGCAGUUGGGAGUUUAAAUGAAUCAUACCAUGCUUUAGAUUGGUUACCCAUGGUUGAAAUCAAAUGCCAGGUUUUCAUUUAUUGCUACUUUGGUAAUAUGAUAAAGCAGUGAUGGGGACUUGUUGACCAAAUGACGAUUGAUGGUGUUUUUCUCAGUAUAGAGAACAAAGAAUGAAAUAAUCUGUUAUUAAUGUAAACUACCCUAGAAUACACAUCUGUGGUCAAUACAGAUGCAGUGUUUGGAUGAUGUGAGGUGGUUGGUUUUUGUAAAUUGAAAACUUGAGUUUUUGGAUUUUGAUGUAAAUAUGUUUGUAGACUUGAAACUGAAUUAUGAAUUUUACAUUUACUUAGAUUUAACAUAAUUGCAUUUGGUUGUGAAACUAAAAUGGAUUACUUCGUUGAUGGAGUGAAAUGGUUUUCACCAAUAGGGUUCAGUAAAGGAAUGUUUUGAGUUUUUUGGGCAUGUGUAUGUGGUUGAUUCCUUGUUUGCAUCGGAGAGAACACUUUGUUGCAUUUGUAAUUUUGUUUCUAUAGACCUUGUGCUUCCAUCUGGAGGGGGUUUGUCUUUGACAGUUGAUAAUUUGACAGUUGAUAAUUGGCUGGUAGAUGUGGCCUAUUAUUUUAAGUGACCAGUGAUUGAUGAAAUGUGAGUGUACUGAGAAUUUGAUUUGAGACAUGAGUGAAAGGUUCUUUUGGUUUUGGAGUUGAGGUUGAGUGUUUGAUUUAAAGAUGACCAAGGUUGGUGUAUAUUCUUGAAUUUGAAGUUAUUAAUUUUUCCCAAAUAUAUAUAUAUAAGAAGUAAAUAUGUUUGAUAUGUGGCAUUUCCAAGGUUAAUGGUUUACAAGGAAGUUUAUUUCUUCUGGGGGAAAAAAUGGUUGUAUUAACUUUUGCUCUACUGCAGUUGAACACUAGGGAGGCGCUCUUGAGUUGUAAAAAAAUUACCCCUUCCAGUUGAGGUGGAAAAUUCCCCCUUAAUCUUUAGAUGUUUUUAGGCACCAUAGAGAAGGCAAGAGUUGAUUUAAUUUAUGGUGUUGAAAUGUUGCUUCUAUUUACAAGCCAUUUUACCCAUGAUGGGGUGUUAAUUUUUUUAAAUAUUAGUACUUAAACUGAGCUUUAUAGUCUCUAGAAAUUAUCUUUAUUUCAAAAUGGCUUGAUAAAACUCCACUUCCUGUCCAGGGAGGAAGUUAUUUUAGCUCCAGGACUGAAAUAUUUAGCAGAUCUUUAGACAAAAGGAACAAAUUACAUUUCUCUCUGGCUUAAAAAGGGUGCUUGAGCCAGAGGGGGUUAAGAAGCCCUUCCCCCUCCCCUGAUGGGGUGGUCUGGAGGGGCAGGGAGGUGUGGAGUUGGGGGUCUUCAGGCUCACUUGGAUGGAGAAUCUGGUUCUUUUUCUUUUUCUUUUUUUUUUUUUGGUGGAGAUGAAGGGGUGGGUCUAUGGUACAUCACCUGAGUUGUGGGGUAAAUGUAGAGAGUGUCAAUCAAAGGCAGAGCUCUCAGAGCUGGGAAGGAGGCUCUAGAUGGCGGCUGUGCCUUAGAGAGAGCGCGCUUUGCUCCCUGCUUCGGUUCACUUUACGCAACUUUCCCUAACUUUCGGGCAGCCUCAGGGGGCCCCCGCAGCCCCCUGCCUCUUCUAGUGACUUACUGGGGUCGAUCCGAACCUUUUUUUGGGAGAAAAGCUGCUUUUAGGAGCUUUCUUUUCGUGCCUUGUUGGAAGAAGCCGCCGUAUUGAGAGCCCAGGUCGUUGUUUUUUCCAGCUUAGAAGCCAUGGCGCACCUCCAUUUUUGUGCGCUCUCCUAAUGAGGUUUUUUUUUCCCCUUCCGGACCUGUUUUAGUAUUAAUUAUUGCUUUAUUUUUUGACAAGUCAACGUAUUUGAGGAUUAUUUCAUUUACUUUUUGUUUUUUAACGGAGGAUUUUGCGUUUUUAAAAAUUAUUUUGGAUCGGAUAUUUUUCUACUACUAGAUAGGACUCUUGCUUUGGACAUACUACAUGGAUCAGGUAAGUCCAUGAUAAUCAGUGAUAAUUUAAAAAAAUUAAUGUUGAACUUUGCUUUAUUUACUGUAAAUAUGAGAAAUUCCUGGAUGACGCAAUAAGAUAGAGAUUGUUAUUUGUACCCAGUGUGUUACUUUUGAGAAACUUUCCUUAUUGAUAGUGAUGCUUCUACCCUUCAGUUUAUCCCCCACUUAUUUUAAAACGGAAAAAUAGAAAUAUUUUGUUUUUUUUGGUGUUUAUCUUUGUUGCAUUACAUGAAUAUCGCUAACAUCGUCAGGACUUUGUUCCUGAUAAUAAAACCAUCCACAGAAGCUGGGACCUUACCUUUCUUUCAACUUUUGACAGUAAAUACCUGGGCACAGGACUUCAAAGCAAACACAGAUUCCCCCUCCCCCUUAAUAUUUAAGAAUUAAAAGAUGAUGAGAAAUAAGGACAAAAGCCAAGAGGAGGACAGUUCGCUUCACAGCAAUGCAUCGAGGUAUGAGCUAUCAACUUUCUUUCUUUCUUUCUUUUUUUUCUUUCCGGGAAUCCUCAGCUUACACUUGUUUACUUUGACAGACAUGGAUUGCUGUCUGUAUUUCAAGAAUUUUCUAACUUGGGUUGGUUUUUAAAGCGUGACCUUGAGAUUGCUAACAUGCCACACCCUGAUUUUUUUGGUAUCAAUUUAUGAAAGUUGAGUUGUGACUUAAGGCCUCUUACAGAAUUCAGAAGGUAAGGUACUUUUCUACGGAGGGGCCUUUCCUAGAAACUGUAGUUUUUCAGUCAGUAAAUUUUCAGGUUUUAGGUUUUCAUGCUGCAGAAAAAUGACCUUGUCUGUUUAGCCAUUGCUGCAUUGCACCAUUUUACAUACAAGGCAAAUUUUUUUCUUUGAAGAAUCUGGGAUAUUCAAACUUGUAACCGAGGGCCAUAGAGCAGCCUGCUAGUAGUAAAUUAUAGUAAAUAGACAUUUGAGAAAGUUAUAUGAAUGAAAAAAUGUACAUUUAAAAACGCAGUCACAAAUAGGACCCUUUGACUGAUGCCUUUCAGUUUAUAUUUUUGAUUGUUUCUUUUGAUACACGUGACAAUUUAAAAAUUUUUUUAUGACUUAUCAAAACCUUAAUAAAUAGUUCCUGAGAUCAUUAAAUCUGUAACCACAAAAAUCUUGGAAUGCUAUUAAUACUUAAGCUUUGUGUUUGUUACUCUGACAAUGUAAUUGUGAAUUUUAUGCUUAAAAUGUUUCAAGGUUUAUGUUUGUAUAUAUUAAGACAGUCCUUUCUGGUUGGUAAUUGUAUUUUAUUUUAUCCUUAUGUUUUAGUUGGUGCUGCUUUAAAUGUAUGCAUUUAUUUUAUCAGAGUCCUGGAAUGCUUUCUAUUCUGAAGCUUCUUAAUGUACUGUUUGUUUAAAUCAUGAUUUGUCUCUCAUUCUUUGAAGUAGCUUAUCAGUGACUGAAGUAAUAAAGCAUAUAUGACAUUUUUUGUUGUAUGACUGUAUAUGUUAAUUUAAAAAUGUGAAUGUAUUUCUGGAUGUGUUCUUUAGAAUUGUCAUGUCAUAGUUUUAAAAUCAUGCAGCUAACAAGGAUGUGAUUGGUAUAUGAUCCAAUUUUGAUUUUACUUUAUAAUUUUGCAUAAAAUUAUUUUUAAAUUAGCUUUUAAAUUUGGAAGUGUGGAAUAUAGUUUAUUACAAAUUGAUUAAUUUACUCUUUACUAAAAAUGUUUUGAGUCUUGCCUCAAAAAUACAUUUCCAAAUUUCUAUACAAAUUGAAUUGUUACAAUUUUGGAAGUCGUUUAAGUUGCAUGUGUAAUUAUUGGGCCAAGAACAGAAAGGUUCUAAUGCAAAAUUAAUUUUCUGGAAAGUAACAUUUUGAAGGUAUAGGAAACUUCAGACAUUUGACAGAUGAAAGACCCAGUAUUAAACUUGUUACUCCCUUGAGUAUAUGAUUUGCAUAUUCUCACCAGGGUUUUGGCUUUCUUAUGCAAGGUUUUUUGUUUCAUUGAUCAGACUGCUCUAAGUAACAUCUUUGAAUAAACUUACUUUUAUCUGGGUAAUAA